rnacentral:rRNA from 1 species
UGGGGAAUAUUGGACAAUGGGGGGAACCCUGAUCCAGCCAUGCCGCGUGUGUGAAGAAGGCCUUAUGGUUGUAAAGCACUUUAAGCGAGGAGGAGGGUACUGGUAUUAAUACUACCAGCUACUGGACGUUACUCGCAGAAUAAGCACCGGCUAACUCUGUGCCAGCAGCCGCGGUAAUACAGAGGGUGCGAGCGUUAAUCGGAUUUACUGGGCGUAAAGCGUGCGUAGGCGGCUAAUUGAGUCGGAUGUGAAAUCCCCGAGCUUAACUUGGGAAUUGCAUUCGAUACUGGUUAGCUAGAGUGUGGGAGAGAAUGGUCGAAUUCCAGGUGUAGCGGUGACAUGCGUAGAGAUCUGGAGGAAUAACGAUGGCGAAGGCAGCCAUCUGGACACACACAGACGCUGAGGUACGAAAGAAUGGGGAGCAAACAGG